UACGUAGGGUGCAAGCGUUGUCCGGAAUUAUUGGGGCGUAAAGAGCUCGUAGGCGGCCUGUUGCGUCCGCUGUGAAAGCCCGGGGCUUAACCCCGGGUCGCAGUGGAUACGGGCAGGCUAGAGGUAGGUAGGGGAGAAUGGAAUUCCCGGUGUAGCGGUGAAAUGCGCAGAUAUCGGGAGGAACACCGGUGGCGAAGGCGGUUCUCUGGGCCUUACCUGACGCUGAGGAGCGAAAGCGUGGGGAGCGAACAGG
rnacentral:rRNA from 1 species